GACGAACGCUGGCGGUGUGCUUAACACAUGCAAGUCGAACGGAAAGGCCUCUUUCGGGGGGUACUCGAGGGGGCAACUGGCGAAUAACACGUGAGUACACUGCCCUUUACUUUUUGAUAGCGUCAGACGACUGGGGCCAAUCCCUAAUAGGGGAUCCUGCUUCCUGGUGGGGGUUGGAGAGUUUCGGCGGUUGGGGGUUGACUGGCGGCGUAUUCGCAUGAGGUGGGGGUAGUGGCUUACCAAGGCUAUGACGGGUAGCCGGCCAGAGUGGGUGACCGGCCACAUUGGGACUGAGAUACGGCCCAGACUCCUACGGGAGGAAGAAGUGGGGAAGAUUGAACAAUGGGUGGAAGCCUGAUGCAGCAGCGCCGUGUGCGGGAUGACGGCCUUCGGGUGGUAGAACGCUUUCGGUCAUGACGAAGCUUUGUGUGACGGUAGUGGGUAAAGAAGCACCGGCUAACUACGUG
rnacentral:rRNA from 1 species